CCUGUAGUCCCAGCUACUCAGGAGGCUGAGGCAGGGGAAUCGCUUGAAUCCAGGAAGCAGAGGUUGUAGUGAGCUGGCAUCGUGCCACCGCACUCCAGCUUGACAACAGAGCGAGACUCCAUCUCAAAAAAAAAAAAAAAGCUAAAAAUAUACUUCACUGUGGCAGGACCGCAGAUGCCACUUCAGAUGAGCAAGAAUGAAUCCACCAAGCGUCACAAUAGAGGUGAAGCCUACAUUUCACCAAAGCAGAAAAAGGAUCCUACAAAACAUGCAAUUUUUAACUGAUAAAA
rnacentral:lncRNA from 1 species